rnacentral:rRNA from 1 species
UAGGGAAUCUUCCACAAUGGACGAAAGUCUGAUGGAGCAACGCCGCGUGAGUGAAGAGGGGUUUCGGCUCGUAAAACUCUGUUGUUAAAGAAGAACAUAUCUGAGAGUAACUGUUCAGGUAUUGACGGUAUUUAACCAGAAAGCCACGGCUAACUACGUGCUAG